UACGUAGGGUGCGAGCGUUAAUCGGAAUUACUGGGCGUAAAGUGUGCGCAGGCGGCCGAGCAAGUCGAGUGUGAAAGCCCCGGGCUUAACUUGGGAAUUGCGCUCGAAACUACUUUGCUGGAGUGUGGCAGAGGAAGGUGGAAUUCCACGUGUAGCGGUGAAAUGCGUAGAGAUGUGGAGGAACACCAAUGGCGAAGGCAGGGUCCUGGCUGGCACCUGACGCUCAUGUGCGAAAGCCAGGGGAGCGAACGGG
rnacentral:rRNA from 1 species